rnacentral:ncRNA from 2 species
UUGAUUAUUGGGAAUGAAUGUCUCCCACGGAAUCACUCCGAAACCGCUUUUCUAAGCUGAUGACUUCUGUUUGCAU